GUAAAGCACUCUGUUUGAAUUUUCAAGGAAGAAUUUGAGUAUUUGUAAACAGUUUUUCGCCUCUGGUACUUUUGCAUAUUUCCAUAUUAAAGACAUUUCACUGCAAGUGCACAUAGUCCAUGUAUCUGUAAUUUUAAACUUCAUACUGUUUUGUACACAUGCAGUGUUUCAGGUAUACCAUGCUAGUCACUACAAGUUCCCUUUCUGAUAUAAAGAGUCGUGAUGUACUGGUACCGUAAACCUCCGACUUACGACUAUAGCACCCCCUCCCAUGUAUAAAACCAC
rnacentral:lncRNA from 1 species